CUUGAAACACGGACCAAGGAGUUUAUCGUGUACGCAAGUCAUUGGGUGUAUAAAACCCAUAGGCGAAAUGAAAGUAAAGAGUAGAGCUUUGUAAGAUAAGUUUACUUUUUUUACAUUCUCUCUUAAGGGAAGAUGGAAAUAUUAUAUACUUUAUGUGUAUAAAAAUUUCCCGCAUUCCCAGGGCGCUUGUAUCUUGCUUUGCGAGUCGAUGCGCACCUAGAGCGUACACGCUGAUACCCGAAAGAUGGUGAACUAUGCCUGGCCAGGACGAAGCCAGGGGAAACCCUGGUGGAGGUCCGCAGCGAUUCUGACGUGCAAAUCGAUCGUCGGAGCUGGGUAUAGGGGCGAAAGACCAAUCGAACCAUCUAGUAGCUGGUUCCCUCUGAAGUUUCCCUCAGGAUA
rnacentral:rRNA from 1 species